GAUGAACGCUGGCGGUAUGCCUAACACAUGCAAGUCGUACGAGAGUUUUUAACUCUAGUGGCGGACGGGUGAGUAACACGUGAGAAUUUGCCUUUAGGAGGGGGAGUAACAAUUAGGAAACGAAAUGCUAAUACCCCACUAUGCUUUUGUAGUGAAAUAGGAUUUUAUUCCGCCUAGAGAGAAGCUCGCGGCUGAUUAGCUUGUUGGUAAGGUAAGAGCUUACCAAGGCGACGAUCAGUAUCUGGUUUGUAGAGGACGAUCAGACACACUGGAACUGAGACACGGUCCAGACUCCUACGGGAGGCAGCAGU
rnacentral:rRNA from 1 species